UACGGGGGGGGCAAGCGUUGUUCGGAAUUACUGGGCGUAAAGGGUGCGUAGGCGGCUUUCUAAGUUGGAUGUGAAAACUCUGGGCUCAACCCAGAGCCUGCAUCCAAAACUGGAGAGCUUGGGUUCUGGAGGGGAAAGCGGAAUUCCUGGUGUAGCGGUGAAAUGCGUAGAGUAUGACAUAGAACACCGAUAGCGAAGGCAGCUUGCUACACAAUAAUUGACACUGAGGCACGAAAGCGUGGGGAGCAAACAGG
rnacentral:rRNA from 1 species